UGGGCUAUAGCCAAGCGGUAAGGCAACGGACUUUGACCCCGUCAUUCGUGGGUUCGAAUCCAGCUAGCCCAGCCA
rnacentral:tRNA from 1 species